UCUGGUUGAUCCUGCCAGUAGUCAUAUGCUUGUCUCAAAGAUUAAGCCAUGCAUGUCUAAGUACAAACCUUAAUACGGUGAAACCGCGAAUGGCUCAUUAAAUCAGCUAUGGUUCCUUAGAUCGUCUCAUCCUACUCGGAUAACUGUGGAAAAUCUAGAGCUAAUACGUGCUUACAAGCCCUGACCUCACGGGAGGGCGCAUUUAUUAGAUCAAAACCAAUCGGGGCUUGCCCCGUCUGCUUGGUGACUCUGGAUAACUUUUGUGCUGAUCGCAUGGCCUCUGCGCUGGCGACGUAUCUUUCAAGUGUCUGCCCUAUCAACUUACGAUGGUAGGUGAUAUGCCUACCAUGGUUAUAACGGGUAACGGGGAAUCAGGGUUCGAUUCCGGAGAGGGAGCCUGAGAAACGGCUACCACAUCUAAGGAAGGCAGCAGGCGCGCAAAUUACCCACUCCCGGCACGGGGAGGUAGUGACGAAAAAUAACGAUACGGGACUCUUUUGAGGCCCCGUAAUUGGAAUGAGUACACUUUAAAUCCGUUAACAAGUAUCUAUUGGAGGGCAAGUCUGGUGCCAGCAGCCGCGGUAAUUCCAGCUCCAAUAGCGUAUAUUAAUGUUGCUGCAGUUAAAAAGCUCGUAGUUGGAUCUGAGGACUCGAAUUGGUGGUGCACCAUACGGUGUUACUGCCGAUUCGGCCUACCUAGUCGGUGCUCGCUCUUGGUGUUCUUAAUUGAAUGCCCUGAGUGCCCGGCAAGUUUACUUUGAAAAAAUUAGAGUGCUCAAAGCAGGCCAUUAGCCGGAAUACUUCAGCAUGGAAUAAUGGAAUAGGACUUCGGUUCUAUUUUGUUGGUUUUCGGAACCCGAGGUAAUGAUUAAGAGAGACAGACGGGGGCAUUCGUACUGCGGUGUUAGAGGUGAAAUUCUUGGAUCGCCGCAAGACGAACAACUGCGAAAGCAUUUGCCAAGAAUGUUUUCAUUAAUCAAGAACGAAAGUCAGAGGUUCGAAGACGAUCAGAUACCGUCCUAGUUCUGACCAUAAACGAUGCCAACUGGCGAUCCGAGAUCGUUUGCUUAUUGACCUCUCGGGCAGCCUCCGGGAAACCAAAGUUUUUAGGUUCCGGGGGAAGUAUGGUUGCAAAGCUGGAACUGUUCAAUUGCAACUCUGCCUGUGACACCAAGUGGUCGGGUUACUUGUCUGUUCUGGCCGGAGUCGGUAGGGUUUCCGGCCUUGUGCUCUUUCCUUACUGUUCUCUGUAACGCCGAAGGCGGGGGCUUCCAGGUGGGGAAGCGGUUGUACAAAUCCGGCAAAUCCAGCCAAAUGGGUUCCGGACUCUGUCCAACCUGCAACUGGUAACAGCCUCGGCUGGCUAACAUUUGAGCUGGGACUCGCUUGGAGGAGCGAGGAUAAUAUAAACCUAUGUGACUGAGGUGAGGAAUCUGGUUCUCGUAAAUGCUGGAGAUCCCGAGCCUGUAAGUCAUAAAUUAGUUCCCCCACGAGGGGAGGUGUCGAAUUGAAGCCAGUGCGUGCCCUUACUAGUUUAAGGAUUGUAUACUUCCUUUGGUGUACCCACCUGGAAGUGCCCAAGGGGUCCUAUCCUGCACUCCAUCCCGAUUGGAGUCAGGUGACGGCUCCUGC
rnacentral:rRNA from 1 species